rnacentral:rRNA from 1 species
UACGUAGGGGGCUAGCGUUGUCCGGAAUCAUUGGGCGUAAAGCGCGUGUAGGCGGUCCGGUAAGUCCGCUGUGAAAGUCGGGGGCUCAACCCUCGGAUGCCGGUGGAUACUGUCGGGCUUGAGUACGGAAGAGGCGAGUGGAAUUCCUGGUGUAGCGGUGAAAUGCGCAGAUAUCAGGAGGAACACCAAUUGCGAAGGCAGCUCGCUGGGACGUUACUGACGCUGAGACGUGAAAGCGUGGGGAGCAAACAGG